ACAAGCAGCGGAGCGUGUGGUUAAUUCGAGGCUACACGAAGAACCUUACCAGGGUUGACAUGCAAGUGGUAGGAAUCCGAAAGGUGACCGACCCUUCGGGAGCUUGCACAGGUGCUGCAUGGCUGUCGUCAGCUCGUGUCGUGAGAUGUUCGGUUAAGUCCGCUAACGAGCGCAACCCUCGUCGUAUGUUAUAUGUGUCAUACGAGACUGCCGGUAAAAGCCGGAGGAAGGUGAGGAUGAUGUCAAGUCAGCAUGACCUUUAUAUCCAGGGCUACACACACGCUACAAUGGUCUGUACAAUGGGUAGCCAAGCCGCGAGGCGGAGCCAAUCCUGAAAGCAGGCCUCAGUUCAGAUUGCAGUCUGCAACUCGACUGCAUGAAGCCGGAGUUGCUAGUAACCGCAGGUCAGCAAUACUGCGGUGAAUACGUUCCCGGGUCUU
rnacentral:rRNA from 1 species